rnacentral:rRNA from 1 species
CCUACGGGUGGCAGCAGUGAGGAAUAUUGGUCAAUGGUCGGAAGGCUGAACCAGCCAUGCCGCGUGAAGGUCAGUGCCCUAUGGGCGUUAAACUUCUUUUGUGCGGGAGCAAUAAUGGUCACGUGUGGCCAGACGAUAGUACCGUACGAAUAAGCAUCGGCUAACUCCGGUCCAGCAGCCCCGGUUAUACGGGGAGGCACGCGUUUUACGGAUUUUUUGGGGUUUAAGGGUGCGUAGGAAGUGAGGUAAGUCAGCGGGUGAAUGCUCCCGCUCAAAGGGGUGAAGUGCCAUUGAUAAUGGCUUGCUGGAGUGCGGAUGCCGUGGGAGGAAUGUGUGGUGUAGCGGUGAAAUGCAUAGAUAUCACACAGAACACCGAUUGCGAAGGCAUCUCACGAAUCCGCGAUUGACGCUGAUGCACGAAAGCGUGGGUAUCAAACAGGAUUAGAUACCCUGGUAGUC